rnacentral:rRNA from 1 species
UCGAUCAUGGCUCAGAUUGAACGCUGGCGGGAUGCUUUACACAUGCAAGUCGAACGGCAGCACGGACUUCGGUCUGGUGGCGAGUGGCGAACGGGUGAGUAAUGUAUCGGAACGUGCCUAGUAGCGGGGGAUAACUACGCGAAAGCGUAGCUAAUACCGCAUACGCCCUUCGGGGAAAAGCGGGGACCUUCGGGCCUCGCACUGUUGAAGCGGCCGAUAUCGGAUUAGUUGGUUGGGGUAACGGCUCACCAAGGCGACGAUCAGUAGCGCUGGUUUGAGAGGACGACCAGCCACACUGGGACUGAGACACGGCCCAGACUCCUACGGGAGGCGGCAGUGGGGAAUUUUGGACAAUGGGGAAACCCUGAUCCAGCCAUCCCGUGUGCGAUGAAGGCCUUCGGGUUAUCAAGCAUGGCAGGAAAAGCAGCUGCAGGAUAAUACCCCGUGCAACUGACAGUACCUGCAGAAUAAGCACCGGCUAACUACGUGCCAGCAGCCGCGGUAGCCACGUAGGGUGCAAGCGUUAAUCGGAAUUACUGGGCGUAAAGCGUGCGCAGGCGGUUCGGAAAGAAGAUGUGAAAUCCCAGAGCUUAGCUUUGGAACUACAUUUUUAACUACCGAGCUAAGAGUGGUAGCGUCAGGAGGUGAUUCAUGUAUAGCAGUGAAAUGCAAUGAACAGGGCACUGUUUCGCGAAGGUCAGCCUCCUGGGAUCUUCUUGACACUCCAUGUAGCUGUGGAAAGAACAAACAGGAUAGACACCCUGGUGAUCCACGCCUAUUUGAAUGUCAUACUAUUGACCGGGCAUUAGGCCUUGGUGUGCCAUCUAGCGUGAAGUUGACGCCUGGGUGAUCCGCAGACCCAAAGCUCCAAGGAGUGGCGGAUUGCACAAAGCGGUGGGAUGAUGGACCAAUUUCGAUGCAACAUAACCUGCCAUCGGCAUGUCCCAGGAAUCCGAAGAGAGGCCUGGAGGUGCUCGCAAAGAGAACGGAACUUAGUUACUACGUGAUCGUCAGCUCGUAGUGAGAUGUUGGACAAGUCGCAACGGCAAUACUGGCAACUAGAUUACGAAGGCCACUGUAAAAUUUGCCGGCGGCGGCUGUACAAACCUAGGAAGGCGGGGCGGGAUGACGUCAAAGUCCUCAUAGCCUGUAGUUAGAACUUCACGUCCAUGCAAUGUUGGGACGGUCGCCAACACCAGGGAGCCAAUCCCGAAACCCGAUCGUAGUCCGGAUCGCAGUCCUGCAACUCGACUAUGAUAAGUCGGUCCAUAGUAAAUCACUUGGAUCAACAUGUCGCGGUGAAGCCGUUCAGAUGUAGUACGCCGUCACACCAUGGGAGUGGGUUUUACAGAAAUAGUUAGCCUAACCGUAAGGAGGGCGUUACCACGGUAGGAUUCAUGACUGGGGUGAAGUCGUAA